rnacentral:rRNA from 1 species
AACGAACGCUGGCGGCAUGCCUAACACAUGCAAGUCGAACGAGACCUUCGGGUCUAGUGGCGCACGGGUGCGUAACGCGUGGGAACCUGCCCUUAGGUUCGGAAUAACUCCCCGAAAGGGGUGCUAAUACCGGAUAAUGUCUUCGGACCAAAGAUUUAUCGCCUUUGGAUGGGCCCGCGUUGGAUUAGCUAGUUGGUAGGGGAAAAGCCUACCGAGGCGACGAUCCAUAGCUGGUCUGAGAGGAUGAUCAGCCAAACUGGGACUGAGACACGGCCCAGACUCCUACGGGAGGCAGCAGUGGGGAAUAUUGGACAAUGGGCGAAAGACUGAUCCAGCAAUGCCGGGUGAGUGAUGAAGGCCUUAGGGUUGUAAAGCUCUUUUACCCGGGAUGAUAAUGACAGUACCGGGAGAAUAAGCUCCGGCUAACUCCGUG